rnacentral:lncRNA from 1 species
UUUGUCAAGAUUUCGCUGGUCGGCUUCCGCUUUCAGGGACUUGGGCCAUUGCAAGAAUUCUUUGUCCUGGACAGCUACGAGCACUUCGGCUCUAGAGGCAUUAAGUGGGGUCGGCUUCUCCGGAACCCAUGAAGGGAGUGGCCUUUGUUCUGAGGACCGAGGGGGAAAAGGUCUUUGGUCCCUUCGCUCCCAAGGCUGUCUGUAAGGCUCAGAUCUUUUGCCAUGUUUCUUUUCAUGCUUCUCCGAUCUUCUUUCCUCCGGGGCUUUUUCCUUGCCUGCCGCUCCUUUGGCAAAUCGGCUUGUCACCAG